GAUGGUUAUAUUCGAUAAAUUACUGAUUAUUUUGGAUUCAUUGAGUUUGGACCGAAAAUCGACGAUUUUCCGAAUGAGAGUACUUUCUUAAGAAAUCACUGUAUAAACAUGGCUUGCACAAAUUCUGAUGGUUGAAUUUGAAGAAUUAUAGAUAACUUUGGAGUUAUUGCGAUUGACCGAAAAUCGACGAUAUUCCGA